GACGUAGGGGGCCAGCGUUGUUCGGAAUUACUGGGCGUAAAGCGUGUGUAGGCGGCCGCGUAAGUCGGGUGUGAAAGCCCAGGGCUCAACCCUGGAAGUGCACUCGAAACUGCGUGGCUCGAGUACCGGAGAGGUUGGUGGAAUUCUCGGUGUAGAGGUGAAAUUCGUAGAUAUCAGGAGGAACACCGGUGGCGAAGGCGGGUCUCUGGGCCGAUACUGACGCUGAGGAGCGAAAGCGUGGGGAGCGAACAGG
rnacentral:rRNA from 1 species